rnacentral:rRNA from 1 species
AUACGUAGGUGACAAGCGUUAUCCGGAUUUACUGGGCGUAAAGGGCGUGUAGGCGGUCUUGCAAGUCAGAAGUGAAAUUCCUGAGCUCAACUCGGGCGCUGCUUCUGAAACUGCAGGACUUGAGUGCUGGAGGGGAUAGCGGAAUUCCUAGUGGAGCGGUAAAAUGCGUAGAUCUUAGGAAGAACACCGGUGGCGAAGGCGGCUAUCUGGACAGAAACUGACGCUGAGGCGCGAAAGCGUGGGGAGCAAACAGGAUUAUAUCCCCUGGUAGUCCACGCCGUAAACGAUGAAUACUAGGUGUAGGGGGUAUCGACUCCCUCUGUGCCGCAGUUAACACAAUAAGUAUUCCGCCUGGGGAGUACGGCCGCAAGGUUGAAACUCAAAUGAAUUGACGGGG